rnacentral:miRNA from 1 species
UGCAGGUGAUGGCGGGGCUG